rnacentral:lncRNA from 1 species
UGUUUUAAAAUGAAAGUGUGCAAAGUUUGAUUGGUUGAUUUUAACUAUGUGACCAUGUGCGAUUAUUUUACCAGAAUUUUAAAUAUAAAAAUUAUCCGAGAUUUGUUAUUUAAGCAUGAAUUUUUUUACACUAGGCUAAUUGACAGAAAAUAAAAAUUGACUUGAGUGUUGGCGUGCCUAUGUGGUCAUUUAAUUGAACCCGUCACAAUGGGAGUUUGGGGGCGAUGCCCAAUGUUUAUCAGAUGCCCGGCGGGGGUCCAGAUGCCGAGUCGCGGUUGAGGCCGGACCAACACUCCUUUAUGGAAUGCCGUCUAGGUGGAGAUUCUAAACGAUGUUGUGCCCAAUGGGGCGGGAUGAUGCCCGGUCAUGCCGGAAUACCGCUAACUCAUGUGUUGGUCGUGGUCCGAGGGGUCGUAAUAAUUGGAACACAUGUGAAUGAUUGUGAUGCAUUGCAUUUGAUUAUGGGUAAAACUAUUCGGCAUGGUACGAGACGUGCCAAAACGCGUUUUACCUUAUCAUCAGGACUCGUGCGGAUGCUUGGUGCAUAAGAGUUAUGUGUUCUGAUUAAUUGAUUAUGCUUAUUGUAUUGAUAAUGGCAUGUGUAAUGUACUAAUAUGUAGAGGUGUGUCAAGGCAAGGUAAGAAUGUAAGGGGUGUGUCAAGGCAAGGUAAGAUUGUACGCCGUUGCAUGUUUAGGUUGCCUCCGUACGAAUUUGCAUCCUAAUCGAGGUUUAUGAAAUCGACUCGCUAAGAUUUUAUCUCACCCCGUUAUUGUUAACCAUUUGUUCAGAGCCGUAGCGUGGACUGCUAAGUGCGGAUGUAGUGGGUGCGAGAUGUGACACUUUUUGGCUGGCCUUGUCGUUAGUGAAGCUAAAGUUCACCCUGACCUUUCUGACCCCUUUUUGCUCAUAGGUCAUGUAGAAGUCAUCUUUUGUUGGAGGUCUGUAAAUAUUAAACUUCUUGGGUUAACAAGGGUAAAUAAAUGUGCGGUUUUUGGAAAUCAUUUGUUGUGUUUUUUCCUAUCCCUAUUUUGUUGAUUGACUCAGUGUUUAUUUAAAUCACUUUCGCAUGCGUUUAAUCGAAAGAUAAAGAGAAGGGAUCGGCG